UCCCUAGUGGUCCAGUGGUUAGGACUUGGCGCUUUCACUGCUGUGGCCCGGGUUCAGUCCCUGGUUGGGGAA
rfam:Ovis aries breed Texel unplaced genomic scaffold TnplacedScaffold_004081487.1, whole genome shotgun sequence.